ACAGCAGUCGCCGCGGGAAUACGUAGGUCCCGAGCGUUGUCCGGAUUUAUUGGGCGUAAAGCGAGCGCAGGCGGUUAGAUAAGUCUGAAGUUAAAGGCUGUGGCUUAACCAUAGUAUGCUUUGGAAACUGUUUAACUUGAGUGCAGAAGGGGAGAGUGGAAUUCCAUGUGUAGCGGUGAAAUGCGUAGAUAUAUGGAGGAACACCGGUGGCGAAAGCGGCUCUCUGGUCUGUAACUGACGCUGAGGCUCGAAAGCGUGGGGAGCAAACAGGAUUAGAUACCCCCGUAGUCCCUGUCUCUUAUACC
rnacentral:rRNA from 1 species